rnacentral:rRNA from 1 species
AGGAUGAACGCUGGCGGCGUGCCUAACACAUGCAAGUCGAACGUCCUGUCUCGCAAGAGGCAGGGAGUGGCGGACGGGUGAGUACCACGUGGGUCAUCUACCGUGAGGUGAGGAAUACCGGCGAGAAAUCGCCGACAAGACCGCAUAGGCUCGAUGCAAGUCGAGCAAAGCUCUUUCGAGAGAGGGAGCGCCACACGAGGAGCCUGCGCCCGAUUAGCUAGCUGGUGGAGUAACGGUUCACCAGGGCGACGAUUGGUAGCUGGUCUGAGAGGACGAUCAGCCACACUGGGAUUGAGAACGGCCCAGACUCCUACGGGGGGCAGCAGUGAGGAAUUUCGUCAAUGGGGGCAACCCUGAACGAGCAACGCCGCGUGCAGGAAGAAGGUUUCGGAUCGUAAACUGCUUUUCUCGGGAAGAGAACGGACGGUACCCGAGGAAUCAGCCCGGCUAACUACGUGCCAGCAGCCGCGGU